CCCCGCACAAGCAGCGGAGCGUGUUGGUUAAUUCGAGGCUACACGAAGAACCUUACCAGGGUUUGACAUGUCACGUGGUAGGAAUCCGAAAGGUGACCGACCCUUCGGGGAGCGUGCACAGGUGUUGCAUGGCUGUCGUCAGCUCGUGCCGUGAAGUGUUAGGUUAAGUCCUGUAACGAGCGCAACCCCUGCCGUUAGUUACAUGUGUCUAACGGGACUGCCCGGCUCAACUGGGAGGAAGGUGGGGACGACGUCAAGUCAGCAUGGCCUUUAUAUCCUGGGCUACACACACGCUACAAUGGUCGGUACAAUGGGUCGCCAAGCCGCGAGGCGGAGCCAAUCCUCCAAAACCGGCCUCAGUUCAGAUUGUAGGCUGCAACUCGCCUGCAUGAAGUUGGAGUUGCUAGUAACCGCGCGUCAGCUAUAGUGCGGUGAAUACGUUCCCGGGGCUU
rnacentral:rRNA from 1 species